UGAAGAUCAUCGUGCCUCAGCCUCCUGAGUGCUGGAUUACAGAGCAUCACCAAGGAGCUUAGUUACUGAGGACCACACUGAUUGCUACACCACAUGCUGCAUGAAGUGAUUCUCUGGACUGGACAUCAACAGCACUGAAGAGCACAUCUCAAGCUCUGUUCCCAAGGGACCUUACAGCGCCAGCGCAGAGGACAGUGUCUCAGUCUCCGUCUCUGAGAAAUUGGACAGCUACAGCUCUGAGGACAGCAUCGCGAUCUCCUUCUCCGUUGGACUGUACAGCAGCAGUGCCCAGGACAACCGCACGCUCUCCAUCUCCCAGGGACUGGGCAGCAACAGCAAGGACUGAGAGAGAAAUUAGUGAAACCACACCAUUCAGAAUAGCAUCUAAAAAUACUUGAAAUACUUAGGAAUCAA